UACGAGGGGGGCAAGCGUUGUUCGGAAUUAUUGGGCGUAAAGGGCGCGUAGGCGGUGCGGUAAGUCACCUGUGAAACCUCUAGGCUUAACCUAGAGCCUGCAGGCGAAACUGCCGUGCUUGAGGGUGGGAGAGGUGCGAUGGAUUCCCGGUGUAGCGGUGAAAUGCGUAGAGAUCAUGGAGGAAGACCAGUGGCGAAGGC
rnacentral:rRNA from 1 species